UAGAACGCUCGGAUCAACCCUACUCCUCGGCCAGAGCGUCCAGUGUGCGCUCCGAAUUUACGAACGGACAAUCUCUGAGCGCUAUCAACUCUGAGCGCUAACUGGCACUCCAGACUGAAUCCAGACCGAACGCACCCAAUGUUGAGCUGUCAGUGUUGAGGCGCGUUCUCGCUUCAAGAGUAUGCGCACCCCCGAGACUGCAGGAAAAAUGGCGGCGCUCAUGACUCUCUCCCAGUUAUCGAGUGGAAACCCAGCUUACGAGGUCUACUACAGACAGGUAGAUCUGGGAAAGUAGGAGCUGCAGAUGCUGCUCAAUUCCUAAAGAAAUCAGGCCUCUCAGACAGUACCUUGGGAAAGCCCAGUGGCAGUCCAUUUGAUUGCAGUGCUCUCUUCACCUCCCACAGCUCCUGGCCCAGCCCCAAGCCUACAGAAGCCAGACAAUCCUGUUAUGCAUCCAAAGAAAAACGUGCCUGACAGACCUGCACCUCCCUAUGUUUUGAAGUGAGUCGGAGCAGCUGGCGUGGGCUAAGAGUGAGCGCAAGCGGGAGGAACAUGAGAGGUUGAGGAGACUCCAUCUACAAGAACAGGAGGACCUGGAACUGGCCAUCACUCACAGCAAGGCUGAAAACUAAGAACCCUGUCACAGACUCACAACAACAACACAACACAUAACAGGAGGUCCUGGAACUAGCCAUUUUCCUUACUAAGGCUUACCCGCCCGCCUACUACCUGACUAAAAACUAAAAGCCCUUUUACACACUCACAACAACAACCCUGAUAGACACUCAUAAAACUCACAGCCUGACCACAAUCAUGUUACAAGCCAAAACAAUGCUACAAACUAGCAACAUACAACCCACAUACAGCUGGACUACAACCCCGCUAGACUAGGAACAGUUCCUCUACAACCCAAAUACUACUAUCUGACAACAGCCUGAAAACAGUGCAUCUACAGCCCUCACUACAGCCAGACAUCAACGUUUGUACAGCCCAAUUACAACCCUUCCUACAGCCCAACAACAACUACAACUUCACCCUGACAACAGCCUCCCACUACAGCUCUGUGAUGUUCAGAUGGCAGCCCAUCUACCUACAGAUUCAGCUACUCAAGACCCUGAAUACUACAGCAAGAAAGCAGCCUCGCUCUCACCACAGCUCUAGGAUUUACUGAUGGGACUGCAGCCCCUCUACCAAUCCAGCUCCACUGAAGCCAGACUAUAUGAAGACCGUAACCUACCAAAUCCUCUCUUUCUUCAACCUCUUUGUCAUUAUCAGCCUCAAUGGAACUCUAGUCAGCUACAUCGCAACUAUAAUCAACUACAGCGGAUCUCCACUUCAGCCCGACUUAAGCUUGACUUAACCCUGACUACAGCCUAAAUCCAGAGUGAUUUAACUCUGACUUGGCUACGGACAGUGGUCAUUCUGACUAGUAGACCCCAUAGUUAUUAGAUGGGGAGACAGGAUGCUGGACUUUGCUUCGGUUUGUUGUGAGGAAAAAUCUAAAAUUGUAACAUUUUAAUUUCAUUUUAAUUAUUUAUAUAGGGGGAAAUCGUGCAUCUGUGGUUUAUAAAGUAUCUGUAAAUGCACUGUUAUAACUGUAUUAUAAACUAUAUCAUAUACCCUUUAAUAAGUGCUUAAGAACAUUAAUAUUGAAAGUAUAAACGUACCCUACUCUUUGUCAGCAAGCGUGUUUGGGUUCCUUAUUUCUGGUGCAAAUCUGUUUUUGGUGAAAAAAUGACCACCUUUUAGAUUAUGGAAUGAAACAUUUUGUUUAUUUGUUAAUCUUGGGGUUUUCUACUUCAUUGCCUUACAUCCUUUUAUUGGAACAGAAAAAUGACACGGUCAAAACCCACCUCAUCUGACUUGGUGGCCUUUCACCAGAGCUUCAAGAACAUUUAGAGUGAUUUGGAUUUCCUUUUUGAUUUCUUCAUGCUAAACUCUUAUGCCUUUAGUAGGCUGAUUGAAGUGUUUAUUUGGUUCAUCUGUUGUGGAGGAUGUAUUCAACUAGUAGGGCAUUAGGACUGUUUUUUUUCUCCUACCGUUUCAUCUAACAGGUUAUAUACACAUACUCUUAUUUAAGCUAUGCAAGUUUAUUAGUACAGCAUAGGUUUAACCUGUAAUUACUUUUAAUUAUAUAUUUUUUAAUUUAAGGAAUGCAACAUUUGUAUUAUUAUCAAUAUCAUGGCAAAGUGUCAUCAAACUACCAGAAGAAUAGCUGACCAGCAAAUAGCGAUGGCAUCCGUUUUCUUUUUGUUCUUUAAUGUUGUAUGAAGGGAAAUGAAAGAAAUGAGUCUUCCCAAACCAUCAAAUUCAUAUGGAUAUCUGUUACAUCAUCAUGGUGUAGUUCUUUGCAGACCAAAACCACAUACAACGUUCAUGUCUUCCCUUCACUUUGCUUUACCAUGCAAUAGCCUUACAUUUGCAGCUAUAUUGUAUUGAGUAGGCACCAAACAGAAGAAAACAGACUGAAACAGGGAGGCUUACCCAAUAAGAAACAAUCAAUUUUGUUUUCCGUUGCAAAACAUUUAGCUAAUUUGUGCAGUAUUGAAUUUGACACUGGUCACAGUUCGAUUAAUCCUGCCUUGCAACACUCAUAAGCACCAGUUUGAUCAUGGCCACUACUCAGUGCGAGGAUGUGGGGUUCUAAUGCCUUAUAAAGGGUCCAUGUAAAACGGUGUUGUAUUCAUUGACGAUGAGGGUUAUUUGUGUGUUUAUUCAAGGAACUCUUAUAUAAUGUCUCAAAUGGCACCCUAUUCCCUAUGCACCCUGGUUAAAAGUAGUAUAUUGAAUAUGUGUGCCAUUUGGGACAAAGCCACAAUGUGUGUGUGUCUAUUCAACUAUGUGCUGCAGCACCUUUCUCCAGUGCUGGCCUGAAGGUGUAUUGUGUUGGUCACACGAAAGCAAAAAUAAUGUACAUGAAUAUGUAUAAAAUGUGCUACAAUGUCUUAUUUAUCCACAACCAAAAUGGCUAAUUUCAUGUGUAAAAUCUGGGAUUUUUCUCAAAAUAAUUGUAAUCCUCUUUGUAUAAAUGCAAUUCAUAUAACAUUCCAAGAAAUGGUAGUGUCUUAGGUCUAUUCUCUGUCUCUCUCUCUCUCUGUCGUAAAAGUGUCUUUCACAAGAACAGAAAAGUGAAAUGAGAACGUUAGAUUUGCAUUUCACUGCUCAAUUAGUUAUUUUUAGCCUGACUUUUACUUCUCUUUUUUAUUUUUUUUAUUUUUACUUGAUGUAUUCUAACAAGUUGUUGGUAGAUUGAACUAAAAUACUAUGAUGGGCCUUGUUCUUCUGCAAAUGGUAAAAUCCUCUCCAAAAUCGACUUAAUAGAAGAAAAAAAAAUAACAUUGAAUUUAACAACCUACUGUAUGUAAAUUCAUUGUAUGAGACAUAUACACAAUGUAAAUGCAGAGGUAUUGAGUGAGAUGUACUAGGUGCAGCUGCCUGUUCCUACCUGUCCUGUACAGUACCAUACAUAUUUAUUUGAUUAAUCAGCAUAGUGGGUUGUAUUAAAAAGUGUCUCCUUCAGGGACAGAGUGGUGCCACUUAUAAUGGGAGGUGUGGUUUUAUUGGCGCUCAUUUAACUUUUAUAGUAACUGAAACAAACUGUAUUUCUGUCAAACUUGUGUGACCUCAGCUCGAUGAGUGUGAUAAACUGUAUUAUAGUC